rnacentral:lncRNA from 1 species
CUGCCCCUCCCUCUGCGAAGGCAUUGACGGCAUUGGCCCACUGCCAGUGGGUGCAGUGAUUUCGUUCUCAAAUCCUUUGCCUCAGUAUAUCGCUUGCACCUUCGUCGUCAUCUUCUUCCACAGAUGGCUCCAAUGCCGCUCAUCAUGCCAGCAUUCCCAUACUGCCCCUCCCUCUGCGAAGGUGCUGAUGGCACUGGCCUACUGCCAGUCAGUGUGGUGAAUUCAUUCUCAAAUUCCUUGCCUCAAUAUAUCACGAAAUGAAAACAUGUAUACAGCUGUGCUCAAAUUUCUCAUUAGGGAGCUUCAUAAUUG